ensembl:lncRNA
CCCCCAUGUCCCCUCUGUGUCCCCUCUGUGCCCCCCCAUGUCCCCUCAGUCUCCCUCUAUGUCCCCCCUAUGUCCCCUCAGUCUCCCCCCAUGUCCCCCCAUGUCCCCUCUGUGUCCCCUCUGUGCUCCCCCAUGUCCCCUCAGUCUCCCUCCCUGUCCCCCCUGUGUCCCCCCAUGUCCCCCAUACCCCCCCAUGUCACCUCCGUGUCCCUCUCUGCCCCCCCUGUCCCCCCCAUGCGACCCCCAUGUCCCCUCUGUGUCCCUCCAGGAGCACUGGGAGGUGGGGGGGGGAACUGGGAAGGGGCAAUGGGGAGAACUGGGAGAUGGGGGGGACUGAAAGGGGGAACUGGGGGGCACUGGGGCGGAACUGGGAGGUACUGGGGAGCACUGGGAGGCAGUGGGGGGCACUGGGAGGCACUGGGGGGGUGCUGGGGGGGUACUGGGAGGUACUGGGGGGCACUGGGAGGUACUGGGAGGCACUGGGAGGCACUGGGGAGCAGUGGGAGGUACUGGGAGGUACUGGGGGACACUGGGAGGCACUGGGAUGUAAUGGGGGGCACUGGGAGGUACUGGGAGGCACUGGGAGGCACUGGGGGCCACUGGGAGGUACUGGGAGGCACUGGGAAGCACUGGGGGUACUGGGAGGCACUGGGAGGCACUGGGGGGCACUGGGAGGUACUGGGGGGCACUGGGAAGCAGUGGGGGGGUACUGGGGAGCACUGGGAGGCACUGGGGGGUACUGGGGGUACUGGGGGGUACUGGGGGGCACUGGGAGGCACUGGGGGGUACUGGGUGGUACUGGGAGGCACUGGGA